rnacentral:rRNA from 2 species
GACAGAGGGUGCAAACGUUGCUCGGAAUUACUGGGCGUAAAGCGCGUGUAGGCGGGUUUCCAAGUCAGAUGUGAAAUCCCCGGGCUCAACCCGGGAACUGCAUUUGAAACUGGGAGUCUUGAGUAUCGGAGAGGAAAGCGGAAUUCCUGGUGUAGAGGUGAAAUUCGUAGAUAUCAGGAGGAACACCGGUGGCGAAGGCGGCUUUCUGGACGAUAACUGACGCUGAGACGCGAAAGCGUGGGGAGCAAACAGG